GUUAGGAAUAUUGGACAAUGGGCGCAAGCCUGAUCCAGCCAUGCCGCGUGAGUGAUGAAGGCCUUCGGGUUGUAAAGCUCUUUAGCCGAUGAUUAUAAUGACUGUAGUCGGAAAAUAAGCCCCGGCUAACUUCGUGCCAGCAGCCGCGGUAAUACGAAGGGGGCGAGCGUUAUUCGGAAUCACUGGGCGUAAAGCGUGCGUAGGCGGCUUUGCAAGUUGGGAGUGAAAGCCCAGGGCUCAACCCUGGAAUUGCUCUCAAAACUGCAAGGCUCGAAUUCGGGAGAGGAUAGCGGAAUUGUCAGUGUAGCAGUGAAAUGCGUAGAUAUUGACAGGAACACCAGUGGCGUAAGCGGCUAUCUGGACGAGUAUUGACGCUGAGGCACGAAAGCGUGGGGAUCAAACAGGAUUAGAAACCCGUGUAGUCC
rnacentral:rRNA from 1 species